GGCUCGGUAGCUUGGUGGAUAAAGCGCUCGUCUAGCAUACAAGAGUCCUGGGUUCGAAUUCCAGCCGAGCAC
rfam:Aedes aegypti strain Liverpool supercont1.323 genomic scaffold, whole genome shotgun sequence.